CUAAAGCACCUUGCUUACACCAAGGAGACAUCUGUGAGACCCGGAUCACUUUGA
rnacentral:tRNA from 1 species